CGGGAGGCAGUACUGAGCGAAGCAUUAGGAAGCAUCUGAACUACGUACACAGCCUCCACAGCUCACGAGGUGCUCCUAUGCUACAGGAGCAGAAUCCAGAGAUUGAACUCAGGACUUGCAAGGCAGGCGUGUUGUCACUGAGCUGAAUCCCCGGACCUCUGCUCAGCUAAUACUGAUUCAACAGAAAAGUGAGGAACAUAACAAGGAUAUGAAAUCGAGCUGGGGUUAUAAUUCUGUUUCCUGUCAAGAUUUCAA